UGCGUAGGUGGCCUGACAAGUCAGGGGUCAAAGGCAACGGCCCAACCGUUGUAAGCCCUUGAAACUGUCGGGCUUGAGUUCAGGAGAGGAAAGCGGAAUUCCUAGUGUAGCGGUGAAAUGCGUAGAUAUUAGGAGGAACACCAGUGGCGAAGGCGGCUUUCUGGACUGAUACUGACACUGAGGCACGAAAGCGUGGGGAGCAAACA
rnacentral:rRNA from 1 species